rnacentral:rRNA from 1 species
CCGGGGGUCUAUUACUUCUGUUGUAGGCCUUGUUUGACAGUCCUGGGGUUUCUAUGUCUUACAAACUCUAAUGAAAUGUAUCUGAAUGUCAUUUAUUGGGACUUAACUGGCCCUCUAAACUUAUACAACUUUCAGCAACGGAUCUCUUGGCUCUCGCAUCGAUGAAGAACGCAGCGAAAUGCGAUAAGUAAUGUGAAUUGCAGAAUUCAGUGAAUCAUCGAAUCUUUGAACGCACCUUGCGCCCCUUGGUAUUCCGAGGGGCAUGCCUGUUUGAGUGUCAUUAAAUUCUCAACCUCACAAGUUUUGUAGCUUCUGAGGCUUGGAUUGUGGAGGCUUGCUGGCAUCUAAGAUGCAUUUGGCUCCUCUUAAAAGCAUUAGUAGAAACCAAUUGUUGGACUACCUUUGGUGUGAUAAUUAUCUACGCCUUGGUGUUCUAUCUGACAAAAGGGUCUCUUUGGUUGGGAUAGUUGCAAACGAGAGUUUGCUCUGUCUGUUUUAACUGUCAAAGAGGCUUUGGGGUGUCUGCUCUCUAACUGUCUGUUUGACGGACAACUAAUUGAUUUGUUUGACCUCAAAUCAGGUAG